AGUGAACGCUGGCGGUAGGCCUAACACAUGCAAGUCGAACGGCAGCACAGUAAGAGCUUGCUCUUACGGGUGGCGAGUGGCGGACGGGUGAGGAAUACAUCGGAAUCUACUUUUUCGUGGGGGAUAUCGUAGGGAAACUUACGCUAAUACCGAAUACGGCCUACGGGUGAAAGCAGGGGAUCUUCGGACCUUGCGCGAUUGAUUGAGCCGAUGUCGGAUUAGCUAGUUGGCGGGGUAAAGGCCCACCAAGGCGACGAUACGUAGCUGGUCUGAGAGGAUGAUCAGCCACACUGGAACUGAGACACGGCCCAGACUCCUACGGGAGGCAGCAGUGGGGAAUAUUGGACAAUGGGCGCAAGCCUGACCCAGCCAUACCGCGUGAGUGAAGAAGGCCUUCGGGUUGUAAAGCCCUUUUGUUGGGAAAGAAAAGCAGCAGGUUUAUACCCCGCUGUUCUGACGGUACCCAAAGAAUAAGCACCGGCUAACUUCGUG
rnacentral:rRNA from 1 species